rnacentral:rRNA from 1 species
GACGAACGCUGGCGGCGUGGAUUAGGCAUGCAAGUCGCGCGACGGACGGGCUUCGGCCCGUUACGGAGCGGCGAACGGGUGAGUAACACGUGAACAAUCUGUCCUCACGUUCCGGAUAAUUGGCCGAAAGGCCUUGUAAUACGGGCGGAGGGUCAUCUGGAGGCAUCUUCGGGUGAAGGAAAGCGCAAGCUGCGCGAGGAGGGUUCGCGGCCUAUCAGUUAGUUGGUGAGGUAAUGGCUCACCAAGGCAUCGAUCGGUAGCUGGUCUGAGAGGAUGGCCAGCCACAUUGGGACU